UGGCGGACGGGUGAGUAAUGUCUGGGAAACUGCCUGAUGGAGGGGGGAUAACUACUGGAAACGGUAGCUAAUACCGCAUAACGUCGCAAGACCAAAGAGGGGGGACCUUCGGGCCUCUUGCCAUCGGAUGUGCCCAGAUGGGAUUAGCUAGUAGGUGGGGUAACGGCUCACCUAGGCGACGAUCCCUAGCUGGUCUGAGAGGAUGACCAGCCACACUGGAACUGAGACACGGUCCAGACUCCUACGGGAGGCAGCAUG
rnacentral:rRNA from 1 species